rnacentral:rRNA from 1 species
AUACGGAGGGUCCAAGCGUUAUCCGGAAUCAUUGGGUUUAAAGGGUCCGCAGGCGGUCAAUUAAGUCAGAGGUGAAAGCCCAUUGGUCAACGAUGGAACUGCCUUUGAUACUGGUUGACUUGAGUUAUACGGAAGUAGAUAGAAUAAGUAGUGUAGCGGUGAAAUGCAUAGAUAUUACUUAGAAUACCGAUUGCGAAGGCAGUCUACUACGUAUAUACUGACGCUGAGGGACGAAAGCGUGGGGAGCAAACAGGAUUAGAAACCCCAGUAGUCC